rnacentral:misc_RNA from 1 species
GAUUUUGAAAUUGGUGAGUUUGAUUUUGGAAUCUCCGGUGAUGGGACGGGCGGAGAUGGUUGUAGGCCCGUCGGAGAAGGUGGCGGUGGUGGCAUAUCAUCUGAAUGAUGCAAUCAAUUGGUGGGACGAUGUGAACAGAUCUCUUGAUUGGCAAAACCGUAUAUUCCAUGUCCUUGCUGUUCUCUACGGCGUUGUCGCCGUCGUUGCUCUUGUACAAUUAAUUCGCAUUCAAAUGAGAGUUCCUGAAUAUGGCUGGACCACUCAAAAAGUCUUCCACUUUCUCAAUUUCUUUGUGAAUGGAGUUCGCUCGCUAGUUUUUACAUUUCGUCGGGAUGUUCAGAAGUUGCACCCGGAGAUUGUGCAACAUAUUAUGCUUGAUAUGCCAAGUCUUGCAUUCUUCACAACUUAUGCUCUGCUAGUAUUAUUCUGGGCUGAGAUAUACUACCAGGCACGUGCUGUGUCCACGGAUGGGCUUAGACCUAGUUUCUUCACAAUCAACGGAGUGGUUUAUGCUAUUCAGAUUAUAUUAUGGCUGAUAAUGUGGUGGAAACCUAUUCGAGUACUCUUCAUCUUAUCCAAGAUGUUUUUUGCAGGUGUAUCCCUAUUUGCAGCAUUGGGAUUUCUCCUCUACGGUGGAAGGCUUUUUCUUAUGUUACAGCGGUUUCCAGUAGAAUCAAGAGGGAGACGCAAGAAGCUGCAGGAGGUUGGUUAUGUCACGACAAUAUGUUUUUCAUGCUUCCUCAUUAGAUGCGUUAUGAUGUGCUUCAAUGCAUUUGAUAAAGCUGCAGAUCUUGAUGUUUUGUAUCAUCCUAUUUUGAAUUUGAUAUAUUACCUGUUAGUGGAGAUACUGCCUUCUUCUCUUGUCCUUUUUAUUUUAAGGAAGUUGCCUCCAAAGCGAGGGAUCACACAAUACCACCCUAUUCACUAAUACAUUAAGAGGGUAGAUAAUGAUGAAAAUCAGGCUCCGGGAUCAGGUAUUAAGUAAGUUGGCUUUUACCUGGAUGUGAUUUGCAAGCAAGAAAUACGAGAGGAGUGAUAAUGUAAAUUGAAGUAUGGUUCGUCUAUACUGAAAUAUCCGUCUGUCCUCACACUAGGCAGAUUGUAGCUCUGUUUUGUACCACUAGUUAUAGAUGGAAUUGUGAAGUAUCUUACGACCUUUAGUGUAUUAUUUCGCCUUUGUAUGUGUCAGAUUUCAAUUGAAUUCAUUAUUUCUCCUGAAACUUCACGUUGUUCUCAGUUCGUGUUCUGUAAUCAUUUGGGUCGGUUAUGAGUUAGUUAGCAAGAUCAAUAUUUGUUCUUGUAUCCUGUAUGAUUCAUAGUAGACAAUGUUUUACUGAUUCAUCGAACGAGUAAAG